rnacentral:rRNA from 1 species
UGGGCGCAAGCCUGAUGCAGCGACGCCGCGUGAGGGAUGACGGCCUUCGGGUGUAAACCUCUUUCAACGCCGACGAAGCGUAAGUGACGGUAGGCGUAGAAGAAGCACCGGCCAACUACGUGCCAGCAGCCGCGGUAAUACGGUAGGGUGCGAGCGUUGUCCGGAAUUACUGGGCGUAAAGAGCUCGUAGGUGGUUUGUCGCGUUGUCCGUGAAAACUCACAACUCAAUUGUGGGCGUGCGGGCGAUACGGGCAGACUGGAGUACUGCAGGGGGAGACUGGAAUUCCUGGUGUAGCGGUGGAAUGCGCAGAUAUCAGGAGGAACACCGGUGGCGAAGGCGGGUCUCUGGGCAGUAACUGACGCUGAGGAGCGAAAGCGUGGGGAGCGAACAGGAUUAGAUACCCUGGUAGUCCACGCCGUAAACGGUGGGUACUAGGUGUGGGUUUCCUUCCUUGGGAUCCGUGCCGUAGCUAACGCAUUAAGUACCCCGCCUGGGGAGUACGGCCGCAAGGCUA